CCUACGGGUGGCAGCAGUGGGGAAUAUUGGACAAUGGGCGAAAGCCUGAUCCAGCCAUGCCGCGUGUGUGAAGAAGGCCUUCGGGUUGUAAAGCACUUUCAGUGGGGAAGAAAGCCUUGGGGCUAAUACCCUCGAGGAAGGACAUUACCCACAGAAGAAGCACCGGCUAACUCCGUGCCAGCAGCCGCGGUAAUACGGAGGGUGCGAGCGUUAAUCGGAAUUACUGGGCGUAAAGCGCGCGUAGGCGGUCUGUUAAGCCGGUUGUGAAAGCCCCGGGCUCAACCUGGGAACGGCAUCCGGAACUGUCAGGCUAGAGUGCAGGAGAGGUAGGUAGAAUUCCCGGUGUAGCGGUGAAAUGCGUAGAGAUCGGGAGGAAUACCAGUGGCGAAGGCGGCCUUCUGGACUGACACUGACGCUGAGGUGCGAAAGCGUGGGUAGCAAACAGGAUUAGAUACCCCUGUAGUC
rnacentral:rRNA from 1 species